GUCUUCAGCCAGACCACCCUGAACACGCUUGAUCUUGGAAGCUAAGCAGGGUGAGGCCUGGUUAGUACUAGGAUGGGAGAAA
rnacentral:rRNA from 1 species